GUGGCGAACGGGUGAGUAACACGUGGGUAAUCUGCCCUGUACUCUGGGAUAAGCCUGGGAAACUGGGUCUAAUACCGGAUAUGACCUUUCACCGCAUGGUGGGGGGUGGAAAGUUCCGGCGGUAUGGGAUGAACCCGCGGCCUAUCAGCUUGUUGGUGGGGUAAUGGCCUACCAAGGCGACGACGGGUAGCCGGCCUGAGAGGGUGACCGGCCACACUGGGACUGAGACACGGCCCAGACUCCUACGGGAGGCAGCAGUGGGGAAUCUUGCCCAAUGGGGGAAACCCUGAGGCAGCAACGCCGCGUGCGGGAUGACGGCCUUCGGGUUGUAAACCGCUUUCAGCAGGGACGAAAUUGACGGUACCUGCAGAAGAAGCUCCGGCCAACUACGUGCCAGCAGCCGCGGUAAUACGAAGGGGGCUAGCGUUGCUCGGAAUGACUGGGCGUAAAGGGCGCGUAGGCGGUUUGAUUAGUUAGGCGUGAA
rnacentral:rRNA from 1 species